UCUUGAGAGCGGCGGACGGGUGAGUAAUGCCUAGGAAUCUGCCUGGUAGUGGGGGAUAACGUUCGGAAACGGACGCUAAUACCGCAUACGUCCUACGGGAGAAAGCAGGGGACCUUCGGGCCUUGCGCUAUCAGAUGAGCCUAGGUCGGAUUAGCUAGUUGGUGGGGUAAUGGCUCACCAAGGCGACGAUCCGUAACUGGUCUGAGAGGAUGAUCAGUCACACUGGAACUGAGACACGGUCCAGACUCCUACGGGAGGCAGCAGUGGGGAAUAUUGGACAAUGGGCGAAAGCCUGAUCCAGCCAUGCCGCGUGUGUGAAGAAGGUCUUCGGAUUGUAAAGCACUUUAAGUUGGGAGGAAGG
rnacentral:rRNA from 1 species